GAAUUUUGGACAAUGGGCGAAAGCCUGAUCCAGCAAUGCCGCGUGCAGGAUGAAGGCCUUCGGGUUGUAAACUGUUUUUGUACGGAACGAAAAGCUUUGGGUUAUUCCCCUGGAGUAAUGACGGUACGGUAAGACUAAGCACCGGCUAACACCUUCCCAGCAGCAGCGGUAAUACGUAGGGUGCAAGCGUUAAUCGGAAUUACUGGGCGUAAAGCGUGCGCAGGCGGUUUUGUAAGACAGAGGUGAAAUCCCCGGGCUCAACCUGGGAACUGCCUUUGUGACUGCAAGGCUAGAGUACGGCAGAGGGGGGUGGAAUUCCGCGUGUAGCAGUGGAAUGCGUAGAUAUGCGGAGGAACACCGAUGGCGAAGGCAACCCCCUGGGCCUGUACUGACGCUCAUGCACGAAAGCGUGGGGAGCAAACA
rnacentral:rRNA from 1 species